GGUGCGAGCGUUGUCCGGAAUACUGGGCGUAAAGAGCUCGUAGGUGGUUUGUCGCGUUGUUCGUGAAAUCUCACGGCUUAACUGUGAGCGUGCGGGCGAUACGGGCAGACUAGAGUACUGCAGGGGAGACUGGAAUUCCUGGUGUAGCGGUGGAAUGCGCAGAUAUCAGGAGGAACACCGGUGGCGAAGGCGGGUCUCUGGGCAGUAACUGACGCUGAGGAGCGAAAGCGUGGGGAGCGAACAGGAUUAGAUACCCUGGUAGUCCACGCCGUAAACGGUGGGUACUANGUGUGGGUUUCCUUCCUUGGGAUCCGUGCCGUAGCUAACGCAUUAAGUACCCCGCCUGGGGAGUACGGCCGCAAGGCUAAAACUCAAAGGAAUUGACGGGGGCCCGCACAAGCGGCGGAGCAUGUGGAUUAAUUCGAUGCAACGCGAAGAACCUUACCUGGGUUUGACAUGCACAGGACGCGUCUAGAGAUAGGCGUUCCCUUGUGGCCUGUGUGCAGGUGGUGCAUGGCUGUC
rnacentral:rRNA from 1 species